GUGGGGAAUAUUGGACAAUGGGGGGAACCCUGAUCCAGCCAUGCCGCGUGUGUGAAGAAGGCCUUUUGGUUGUAAAGCACUUUAAGCGAGGAGGAGGCUACUCUAGUUAAUACCUAGGGAUAGUGGACGUUACUCGCAGAAUAAGCACCGGCUAACUCUGUGCCAGCAGCCGCGGUAAUACAGAGGGUGCAAGCGUUAAUCGGAUUUACUGGGCGUAAAGCGCGCGUAGGUGGCCAAUUAAGUCAAAUGUGAAAUCCCCGAGCUUAACUUGGGAAUUGCAUUCGAUACUGGUUGGGUAGAGUAUGGGAGAUGAUGGUAGAAUUCCAGGUGUAGCGGUGAAAUGCGUAGAGAUCUGGAGGAAUACCGAUGGCGAAGGCAGCCAUCUGGCCUAAUACUGACACUGAGGUGCGAAAGCAUGGGGAGCAAACAGGAUUAGAUACCCCGGUAGUCC
rnacentral:rRNA from 1 species